AAAGAGAGAGGAAGAGGUUGCUCCUGGAGUUGUUUCCUUGGCUCAAUGAUCAGUGCCAGUUUCAUCGUGUUAGUAUCAAUCUCCAGCGGCUGUGUGUCCACAGACUGAGGGUAUACUUCAGCAACGAGGAGGGGGAGGGGUCUGGUGUCCUCUGCAGUUUCUUCACUCCAGUGUACGAGGCCAUUAUUUCUGAAAGUCCAUUGCCGGAAUUGGAUCAUCGUUUGUCUCAUUCAGUUCAGCCAAUUUCAUGGAAGAGAAGUUUCUGAAAUACUGGAUGAUAUUUCAUGGAGGAAGUGGGUGGAAGAGGAGCUGAAGUAUCAUCCUCGUGUGAAUUGUGUCCGUUAUUCCAUGAGUCUGGUAAACCUGGUUUCUAUUCCAUCAAACACUCCAUCAAGACUUAAUGCUUACAGGAAUAUAGGGAG